GGAGGGUGCAAGCGUUAUCCGGAUUCACUGGGUUUAAAGGGUGCGUAGGAGGGCAGGUAAGUCAGUGGUGAAAUCCUAGGGCUUAACCCUAGAACUGCCGUUGAUACUAUCUGUCUUGAAUACCGUGGAGGUGAGCGGAAUAUGUCAUGUAGCGGUGAAAUGCUUAGAUAUGACAUAGAACACCGAUUGCGAAGGCAGCUCACUACCCGAAUAUUGACUCUGAGGCACGAAAGCGUGGGGAUCAAACAGGAUUAGAUACCCUGGUAGUCCACGCCCUAAACUAUGGAUACUCGACAUACGCGAUACACUGUGUGUGUCUGAGCGAAAGCAUUAAGUAUCCCACCUGGGAAGUACGACCGCAAGGUUGAA
rnacentral:rRNA from 1 species